AGUGAACGCUGGCGGUAGGCCUAACACAUGCAAGUCGAACGGCAGCACAGUAAGAGCUUGCUCUUACGGGUGGCGAGUGGCGGACGGGUGAGGAAUACAUCGGAAUCUACUUUUUCGUGGGGGAUAACGUAGGGAAACUUACGCUAAUACCGCAUACGACCUACGGGUGAAAGCAGGGGAUCUUCGGACCUUGCGCGAUUGAAUGAGCCGAUGUCGGAUUAGCUAGUUGGCGGGGUAAAGGCCCACCAAGGCGACGAUCCGUAGCUGGUCUGAGAGGAUGAGCAGCCGCACGGGGAGUUAGCAGCGGCGCAGACUACGACGGGGAGCAGCAAUGGGGAAGAGUGAGCAAGGGGCUGGAGCUGUAUACAGCAGUAGGGGGUAAGAGAAGGAGGACUUCUGGUUGUAAAGCGCUUUUGUUGGAAAAGAAAAGCAGCAGGCUAAUACCCCGCUGUUAUGACGGUACCUAAAGAAUAAGCACAGGCUAACUUCGUG
rnacentral:rRNA from 1 species